rnacentral:lncRNA from 1 species
AAAGAAGGUAAAAUAAAGUGAUGAAGGAAGAAGCAAAGUGGUCUUGCUCUUUAAUUAUUUUUGCUUUUUUUUCAAAUCAAGUUGAGAGAGAGAAAAUUAUUGGGGCGCCGUUUGGUGUCUCCCCCUCUUUUUCAUGCAUUAGUCCAUUAUAUAGGAUGAUAACUAGGGUUUAGAAUUUUUUUUUAUAAUUCCAACAAUACCCUCUAAUAUUAUUUUAGAUGUAAAAUGAAUU